UGAAUAGAGUGCAUUUAGUUGGUUUUAAUUUUAGGUUGUAUUGUCUAAAUCUUUCAAAUGCUUUUCUGAGGUUUUCUAAUGAUUCAGAGAAAUUUUUGCCUAAGACUAUGAUGUCAUCUAGGUAAACUAAAAGUUCUUCCCAAGUCAUACCUCUCAAGACUAGUCCCAUUGCCCUUUGAAAGGUUGCGGGGGCAUUACACAACCCGAAAGCCAUUCUUUGGUGUUCAAAGAGGCCAUAUUUAGUCAAAAAAGCUGUUUUCUGUUUGCUAUUUUCCUCAAUUUCAAUUUGAUAAUAGCCCAUGGCUAAAUCCAAAGUACUAAAGAAUUUGGUGCCAUACAGAACAUCCAUACAGUCAGAAAUAAGGGGUAGUGGAUAGCAAUCUUUAACAGUCCUAGCAUUUAGAUCUCUAAAAUCUAUGCAAUAUCUGACACUACCAUCUUUUUUCUUGAUUAAAACUGGAGCAGAUGCCCACUCAGAAGAAGAUGGGGUAAUGACUCCUGCAUCUAAUAAUUUCUAGUCUCACCUUUACCAAGAACUGAAGAACACAAAAAUUCUGGAGAACUAAAGGGUUCUACUAUGAAAUUGGUGUCAAGGGGCCUACUUAGAGAACAAUUUACAAACCCCACUGAAUUUGCUGGUAUGAUAGAUCUACUUUGAACAGUUACCCUUGCAACCUUGAUUUGUUCACCUUGUAUGUUCUUUAUAUUUGCUGUUAUUGUUUGCUUCCCAAUUUCUAAAACAUUUUUCCUGAGGUCAAUGACACAAUGGUUGGCCUCUAAAAAGUCUAACCCCAAAAUUACUGUAUCUUUCAUGUCAACUGCACACAUAUCAAUAGAAUAUGAUUGAGAUCCUAUCUGACACGAGACAUUUUUGUACAGUUGCCCUGUUAUUUCAUGUCCACCUAAACCUUUGAGUGUAAUGUUUUGUGAUGUUAGAGUGGAAUUGUUUUCACCCGGGAAAAUACCUUUAUUGACCAAGGUCAUCAUAGCUGCUGUGUCAACAACUGCUGUUGUUUGAUGGCCAUGGACAACAAAAGGAAUCUCCAGAGUCAAACCUUUUGAAUUUUCAUUGACAUUGACUUGAAGAUUCUGACCUUUUUCUUCAUUAACCAGACUACGGUCAGCUAGACUGGUUACCUGGAGUUUAAAUUUUCUGAAGGAAUUGGGGAGUUAGCUGAGGAUUGUGAUAUUGUUGGAGUAGACCUAUAUGGACUUGGUGUUCUGUAUUUAAACUUGAAGGGAGAUGGAGAUCUAGAGUUGCUAAAUGUUUGAUUUGACUUGUUCUGUAUUGUUGAAUUUUGAGUGCUUUUGAAUGGACUGUUGGAUCUGAAGGGUUGACCAUAAUUUAUGGGACUGUUUGACCUUGACCUAGAUUGAAAUCUUGGUGCAUUUCUUAGAACCCCACCAUUGGAAAAUUUGUCAUCUAAUGUUUGCUUAAUACUGAAGACCAUAUCUGUAAGUUUUGAAAUUUUGUCUUCCAUUUGUUCUAACUUUUUGGUUUGUUGCAUUGUUGAUGGUUCAAAUGAAACUUGUCUGUGAUAAUAGGACUUGCUAGCACCAUAGACAGCUUGCUGGUUAGCAAUUGAAGUCCUCAUAAGGUCUAGAGCUUCAUGGAUGUCUUUGGGAUUCUUUUCCAUAACUGUCCUAGCAGCUUCUUUAUCUCUGCAUCCUCUAAGGAAAUUUUCUGUUGAAAUUUGGUUGACUGCUUUCUUGCCUGAUUCUUUGUAACCAUCAAUGGUGAUGAAGUGAACUCUUUGUGCAAACUGUUGGAGUGAUUCAUCCUCAUGUUGUUUCAUGUACUGCAGCUUGCGUCUAGCUGAGAUAGGGUUCUUUUUGGUAUUGAAUCUCCUGCUCAUUUCCUUCUUGAUCUUUUUGUAACUGUCUAGGUUAAGCUUACAGACAUAUUCUAAAGCUUGUCCAUCUAAGCUACUAAACAAUUUGUCAGUACGCUUCUUUUUUCCCCAAUCAUGCCUGUCAGCUACCCUUUCAAAUUGUGUGAUGAAUGUAUCCCAACUGAUUUUUCCGUCACCACUAAAUAUUUGUAAUUUUGACGUUGGACUGCGACUUUUUUGUCUGUGUCUGCGUCGGUGAUGGUGUCUGUCAUAGUCAGAGUCACUACUGGAGGAGGAAGAUGAUGAUGACCGUGAAGAUGAGGAGGAGGAGGAGGAUUGAUACCUUGUUUUUCUAUGAUAUUUCCUACCUCUUGUGUUUUCAUCAUAUGUGUUGUCAAACAUAUUUGAUUUUGAGUGAAUAUGUGUGUCUUUUGUAUCAUGUAUUUUGCUUUUUCUGUUUUGUUUUGUUUCUGAUUGUUUUCUGUCAGAUGGUUUUCUUGUGUAUAUGCUAUCUGCUGGCAUUGCACUUAACCAUUUUCUCUGUUGGGCUUCUUGUUCUAAUGCAAACUCUGCUUUCUUUCUUCUCUCUCUCUCAGCUUGCAAUUCCUCUUCCUGUCUCUCUAAUUUCACAUUCAACUCUCUCAUGCUAGUAUCAAGAUCUCUCAUAUCAUAGUACAAAUCUGACUGUAAGCUAGUAGCUCCCCCAAAGGAAACUAUUUGAUUUUCUUCCCAUUUUUUCCAUUGUUUUUCUGGUACAUCUGUAUAUUUACCAAGGAUAUUUGCAUUUAACUCGUAUCUUUUCCUAACCCCUAUUAUAUCAGUAAUGGUGCGAUGAUCUAGGAUCUUUGACAUUUCAAAUUCAGAAGCUGUUUACAUGUUGAUUGGAGCCAUUGUGAAAUCGGUAAUUUAUCAAAGGGGAAAAAAAAUACCACCAAGGAAAAGGAAACUAGUUGUGUAAACAACCAGUGAUUGUAAAAUGAAAUAAAUUGUGAAACCAAAUAUUCAGUAAAGAAAAAUAAUAAAUCGAA